UCGAUGUUGUAUAGAUGUUCAUAUGAUGUUAAUGGAUGUCCAGAUAUAUUACACUCAUAAUGCACGUUCUAUGACUAUAAACAUUACACUUUCGGUGGAGUGAUAUACUUACUGUCUAGUCUAAUUUUCCAUAUGCAGACCACUUUUCAAAUGUAUCUGUCAGUUUAUACUCAUGUUUGACUUUAGGUUCCAACUGUACCCUGAUUGUUUUGUGUUUGACAUCUCAAAAUAUUGAAUUUCACUGCCUUUAUACAUGGUUCAUGUGAAUUGGCAGGGCCUAAGUUCCUGGGAGCAGCUUGGCAGCGCCUGCAACUGAAUAUUUUUGAACGCGGGUUGCUCAUCGAAGUGUAUGGAGAUCGGGGAGUUGGAGAGUUAUGGUUUGUUCAUGUAACGCCAACCCAAUUAUCCCAGUUAUCGAGUAGAUUGAACCUUCCUUAGUAGGUGUCUAAAAGUGUUCAAUCGGUGGGGCGUUGACCAAGCUUUACCUGUUGGAAAAGAGAAACGUAAAAUCAAGAGCUUGGCAGGAGCAAUUUAUCAUAUGUUCUCCGGAGUUACCUGUUCAUCGAGGAUGAUCAUGUCCAUUCCCUGGAGCUCUCCUCCUUUCGUCACAUUAGGUGCCUCCCAGAACCUAAGCAGUAACACCUCCACAGUCUUAGUAGAACGACGAACUUUCAAAUCGAAGAGCAAUAGGUGAGAGGCUCCAUCGAUGGAAUCUGGGUUUUUAAGAGAAAGCUAUUGAUUCGGUGCGAGUGAUGAGUUUCAUCCUAGACUGCAAUGUUAUUUAUAGAAGGACUCCUCCGUUACUAUAGAGGAGUGAGAGGGCUAUUGAAUGUGAGGGAGUGGAGGAAGUGGGGAGAUGACGUAAAUGCGAUCAUUAUUGGGCGAUUGAAUGAUAGCCUAAGGCCGUCGGUGUUGUAUAAACCAAUGAUCGCAGCGGCUCCUUUUAGGUCAAUAAAUUACAAAGGACGGCCCAAUGGACUGCAAGGUUUCAAGUUUCGGGCCAGCGUAACAAAAGUUCAGUGUAAUAGAUUUCCAAGUUAAAUAUUAGACUGCCACGUGGCAGAAAAUGCCCAUCC
rnacentral:lncRNA from 1 species